UACGUAGGGGGGCGAGCGUUGUCCGGAUUUAUUGGGCGUAAAGAGCUCGUAGGCGGCUGGGCAAGUCGGGUGUGAAAACUCCAGCUCAACUUGGAGACGCCACUUGAUACUGCCCUGGCUUGAGUCCGGUAGGGGACGCGGCGGAAUUCCUGGUGGUAGCGGUGAAAUGCGCAGAGAUCAGGAGGAACACCGGUGGCGAAGGCGGUUCUCUGGGCAUGACCUGACGCUGAGGAGCGAAAGUGUGGGGAGCGAACAGG
rnacentral:rRNA from 1 species